rnacentral:rRNA from 1 species
AGCGUAGACGGUGUGGCAAGUCUGAUGUGAAAGGCAUGGGCUCAACCCGUGGACUGCAUUGGAAACUGUCAUGCUUGAGUGCCGGAGGGGUAAGCGGAAUUCCUAGUGUAGCGGUGAAAUGCGUAGAUAUUAGGAGGAACACCAGUGGCGAAGGCGGCUUACUGGAUGGUAACUGACGUUGAGGCUGAAAGCGUGGGGAGCAAACA